GCUAAAUUUUGUACGGUUAAACUAAAAAAGUAUAUUGUUGAUUCCAACAAUCGACUUAUUAUUGAAAUAAAAAGAUUUGAUUGUUGAUUUAACAAUAUUGUGUGUUUAAAACAACAAUAUUAUUUUUAUUUCAAUCGAUUUUAUUUUUUUCUAGUUUGCGGUAAUGGGAAUAAGCGUGUAUUUAUUUUGUUUUCAUUUUAUAUUUUUCACCUGGCCUCAAAUAAAUAUAAGCCGUUGGUUUAAAGUUUAUUAAAAGAUUUCCCCGUUAUAUGAAAAUCACUGCUAAGAAAAUUCAGCAACGUUGUGAUGCAAACAUAUGUGUAUACCUAUAGAAUGCAGCUCCAGAACCGAGUCCAGAACCAGAAAAGGGAAGGCAGAACCAGAAAAGUACUACGGCUACCUUUGUUGUUGGGGCGUGAAACCACUACCUACGUCCAUCGAUCGAGGCGUCCAUUGAGUGGAACUUUUGUUUUAUUGGCUUUCCCUCAGCCUCCUCCAUGUAUUCCUGACUAAACAGAUGGGGAAAAGACCAGGAUUUUUUGCAGUCAUGUGCAACCACUUAUUCCAUACAACAUCAUAAACAACAGCAGAUUGACUAACAUAAAUGGUAUAAAUAUUUUAAUAAAAUGAUAAAAUAAAUGCUUACUGAG